AUUGAACGCUGGCGGCAGGCCUAACACAUGCAAGUCGAACGGUAACAGGAAACAGCUUGCUGUUUCGCUGACGAGUGGCGGACGGGUGAGUAAUGUCUGGGAAACUGCCUGAUAGAGGGGGAUAACUACUGGAAACGGUAGCUAAUACCGCAUAACGUCGCAAGACCAAAGAGGGGGACCUUCGGGCCUCUUGCCAUCGGAUGUGCCCAGAUGGGAUUAGCUAGUAGGUGGGGUAACGGCUCACCUAGGCGACGAUCCCUAGCUGGUCUGAGAGGAUGACCAGCCACACUGGAACUGAGACACGGUCCAGACUCCUACGGGAGGCAGCAGUGGGGAAUAUUGCACAAUGGGCGCAAGCCUGAUGCAGCCAUGCCGCGUGUACGAAGAAGGCCUUCGGGUUGUAAAGUACUUUCAGCGGGGAGGAAGGGAGUAAAGUUAAUACCUUUGCUCAUUGACGUUACCCGCAGAAGAAGCACCGGCUAACUCCGUGCCAGCAGCCGCGGUAAUACGGAGGGUGCAAGCGUUAAUCGGAAUUACUGGGCGUAAAGCGCACGCAGGCGGUUUGUUAAGUCAGAUGUGAAAUUCCCCGGGCUCAACCUGGGAACUGCAUCUGAUACUGGCAAGCUUGAGUCUCGUAGAGGGGGGUAGAAUUC
rnacentral:rRNA from 1 species